GACGAACGCUGGCGGCGUGCUUAACACAUGCAAGUCGAACGGAAAGGCCUCUUUCGGGGGGUACUCGAGUGGCGAACGGGUGAGUAACACGUGAGUAACCUGCCCUUGACUUUGGGAUAACUUCAGGAAACUGGGGCUAAUACCGGAUAGGAGCUCCUGCUGCAUGGUGGGGGUUGGAAAGUUUCGGCGGUUGGGGAUGGACUCGCGGCUUAUCAGCUUGUUGGUGGGGUAGUGGCUUACCAAGGCUUUGACGGGUAGCCGGCCUGAGAGGGUGACCGGCCACAUUGGGACUGAGAGACGGCCCAGACUCCUACGGGGGGCAGCAGUGGGGAAUAUUGCACAAUGGGUGGAAGGCUGAUGCAGCAACGCCGUGUGCGGGAUGACGGCCUUCGGGUUGGAAACCGCUUUCGCUCAUGACGAAGCUUUGUGUGACGGUAGUGGGUAAAGAAGCACCGGCUAACUACGUG
rnacentral:rRNA from 1 species